CCGGGCCCGCCGCGGGCCUGGAGGGAACGCGUGCCGGGCCGCGGAGCCCAGCUGGGAGGCGCGUUUCAUCAGCCCGACUACCCAGGGACGCCAAGGGCCUCCGCGCCCACCGCGGCGUCGGGACCUGGGGCUCUGCCGUGCACCCCGCGCCGGGACCUACGACACGUUUCCCCGGUAAAGCAGCGGCGGACCUGGGAGGUCAAGUCCCCCAUGACACAAGUCACAGGGUCCCGUGGAUGAGGCAGUUUAAGGGACCAGAAGUUAUCAGGGACCUGUUUUUAAUGAAAAAUUAGGAGUUUGGGGAUCAGGCUGCCUGAGCUCCAAUCCAGGCCUCUCCACUAAUUAUAUCAUCUUCGUAAAUAAUGUAACCCUCCCGCCUCUUGUUUUCCUAAAAAUCAUUAAUUAUAACGAUGUCAUAGGGUUGUGUGAAG
rnacentral:lncRNA from 1 species